CAAAGCGGAACACCCAGGGUCGAGUGGCAGUUUGAAAAGGGCCGUUCAAUAGUGCUGUUCUACUAUGAUUCGAAAUUCACAGGGACUGUCCAGUUUGGCCGAUGUACAUAGCAGAGGGGCAUUGCUGGCACGUGAUGGCAUAUAUAAGAUCGGUGGACGUGCAGAAUUCUCCCAGGGGUAAAGGAUAUUGACUUUUGAAGGAGAUGCUAAAAUGAGAAGCUAUGACCAAGUUUUGUCAUAGACCAGGCAGUGCCCUGAGUGAUCCAGAAGCUGGUGCUUCUUUAAAAUGCCUGCAAGGUGUGAUCAUCCAACAAUUCCCCUUUCAGGAAGACGAUUGCCAUAUUACACGCCUCCACCCUACUCCCUACACUGACGUAUCACCCUGUGUGGUGUUUGAGGAGGGAGGAACUGAAGAGAGACUCAGUAUUUGCUGGGCAGAAGAUGACCCACUCUUCAGUUGAUCCGCCUGAGACUGUGAAGUUGGAGAUGAAGAAGAUCUCUGUCUCAAGGAAAAAGAAGCACAAACAUUUGCAUCAGCACAAUCCCAUUUUACCACCUCUCAGUAAGAUCUGUAUCAAUCUGCUGCAUUGUAAGCUCUUUUGGGCAGAGACAUUGUAUGCUGCUCUUUAAAGCUCUGAUGACAUGAUAUAAAUUGGAAAGUAAAGAAUCAUUCUUUCUUGAUGUAAAUGCUAAGAUGAGAAGCAAUAGUUGGGGGAAGGUGUUGGUCGGCCAGUGUCCUGAGGAAUCUGGAAUUUGGUGCCUCCUUAGAAUGCCUGGAGCAACAUAAUCAUCUUGUAUUUACGUUUUCAGGUAGAUGGCAACUCUAUUCCAUGCUUUACCCUGAGCCUUUACUGACCCCUCCCCGCACAAAAGAAAGAUGUACCUGCACAGUAGAUCUCCUGUACUCACUGAAUGGAAGAGGGUCUGUUCUAAAUUAAAUAGUAGUAAACUCCUUUGCCAAAGCAGUAACUGAGGCUUGGUCUACACUGGGGGGGAUUGAGCUAAGUUACGCAACUUCAGCUACGUGACUAAUGUAGCUGAAGUCAACGUACUUAGACCUACUCACCGCAUGUCUUCACUGCGGUGAGUCGGCUGCUGUCGCUCCACUGUUGACUCUGCCUGCGCUUGUCGCGGUGGCGGAGUACAGGAGUCGAUGGGAGAGCGCUAGGGGGUCGAUUUAUCGCGUCUAGACUAGACGUGAUAAAUCGACCCCUGCUGGAUCGAUCACUGCCCGCUGAUCUGACAGGUAGUGUAAACAUACCCUGAGUCUUUGAAUCACUCUGCAAAUAUGUUAAGACUUUCCCCUUCCACUGAAGUGCAGUGAUAGGGGAGAAUAUGACAAUCACUAACUAGAUAGAAGCAGGGUGAAGUCAGGAUUGCGGGAAAGGUGUAUUUGCAUUGCAAGAGAAUGUUAACGUGAGGAGGAAUGGUUGGAGCUGGUUGUUGGUCAGAAAAUGCCCAGGGUGAGAGAGAAUGUAGUUCUUUCUUACAAUGACUGCAGAGAAUAUAUUGUUAUGUGUUUAUCUUUUUAGAAAUGUGGUAACCAUAUUGUCUACACCCAAAGCCCUGCACAAAC